rfam:Tistlia consotensis strain TSBA 355 genome assembly, contig: Ga0111602_118
CUGUUCUGCCGUACGUCUCUAAGGGCGUUUCCUCCCUAAACUUGGGCCGUGCCUCGCGCACGGCCCUUUUUUUUCGGCGAG